AUUGAACGCUGGCGGCAGGCCUAACACAUGCAAGUCGAACGGUAACAGGAAGCAGCUUGCUGCUUUGCUGACGAGUGGCGGACGGGUGAGUAAUGUCUGGGAAACUGCCUGAUGGAGGGGGAUAACUACUGGAAACGGUAGCUAAUACCGCAUAACGUCGCAAGACCAAAGAGGGGGACCGUCGGGCCUCUUGCAAUCGGAUGUGCCCAGAUGGGAUUAGCUAGUCGGUGGGGUAACGGCUCACCUAGGCGACGAUCCCUAGCUGGUCUGAGAGGAUGACCAGCCACACUGGAACUGAGACACGGUCCAGACUCCUACGGGAGGCAGCAGUGGGGAAUAUUGCACAAUGGGCGCAAGCCUGAUGCAGCCAUGCCGCGUGUAUGAAGAAGGCCUUCGGGUUGUAAAGUACUUUCAGCGGGGAGGAAGGUGUUGAGGUUAAUAACCUCAGCAAUUGACGUUACCCGCAGAAGAAGCACCGGCUAACUCCGUGCCAGCAGCCGCCGUAA
rnacentral:rRNA from 1 species